rnacentral:rRNA from 1 species
CCCUUAGAUGUCCUGGGCCGCACGCGCGCUACACUGAGUGUCUGAGAUACGAGUCUGCCUGGUCCGGCAAGGUCUAGGUAAUCGCUAAAAGACACAUCAUGCUUGGGAUAGAUUAUUGCAAAUAUUAAUCUUGAACGAGGAAUUCCUAGUAAGCGCAAGUCAACAGCUUGCGUUGAUUACGUCCCUGCCCUUUGUACACACCGCCCGUCGCUCCUACCGAUUGAAUGUGUUGGUGAGGAGCUCGGAUUGGCAGCAGUUGGUGGUUCGCCACCGGCUAUUGCUGAGAAGUCCUCCAAACCGCCCCAUUUAGAGGAAGGAGAAGUCGUAACA